GAUAACAUAUGUGGAAGGGCUGUACAGGGUGCUAGUGUGUUGGUUUGAAGGGCUGGUACAGGGUGCUAGUGUGUUGGUUUGAAGGGCUGUACGGGGUGCUAGUGUGUUGGUUGGAAGGGCUGUACAGGUGCUAGUGUGUUGGUUUGAAGGGCUGUACGGGGUGCUAGUAUGUUGGUUUGAAGGGCUGUACGGGGGGCUAGUGUGUUUGGUUUAAAGGGCUGUAGGGGUGCAGUGUGUUGGUUUAAGGGCUGUAGGGGUGCUAGUGUGUUGGUUUAAAGGGCUGUACGGGGUGCUAGUGUGUUGGUUUGAAGGGCUGUUCGGGGGGUGUAGUUUGUGGUUGAAGGGCUGUACGUGGGUGCUAGUGUGUUGGUUUGAAGGGCUGUACGGGGUGCUAGUGUGUUGGUUUGAAGGGCUGUACGGGGUGCUAGUGUGUUGGUUUGAAGGGCUGUAGGGGUGCUAGUGUGUUGGUUUGAAGGGCUGUACGGGGUGCUAGUGUGUUGGUUUGAAGGCUGUACGGGGUGCUAGUGUGUUGGUUUGAAGGCUGUACGGGGUGUUCGGUGUUGGUUUUUGAGGGCUGUACAGGGUGCUAGUGUGUUGGUUUGAAGGGCUGUACGGGGGUGCUAGUGUGUUGGUUUGAGGGCUGUAGGGUGUAUGUGUGUUGGUUUGAGGGCU
rnacentral:lncRNA from 1 species